rnacentral:lncRNA from 1 species
GGGGCUGAGGGGGCAGAGGGGCUCAAGGGGCUGAGGGCUGAGGGGCUGGGGGGUUGAGGAGGCUGAGGGCUGAGGGGCUGAGGGCCUGAGGGACUGAGGGCUGAGGGCUGAGGGGCUGAGGAGGCUGAGGGGGCUGAGGGCUGAGGGGUUGAGGGAGCUGAGGGCUGAGGAGCUGAGGGGUUGAAGGCUGAGGGGCUGAGGGCUGAGGGGUUGAAGGGGCUGACGGGCUAAGGGGCUGAAGGGGCUGAGGGAGCUGAGGGCUGAGGAGCUGAGGGGUUGAAGGCUGAGGGGCUGAGGGCUGAGGGGUCUGAGGGCUGAGGGGUUGAAGGGGCUGAGGGGCUGAGAGGCUGAAGGGGCUGAGGGGCUGAAGGAGGCUGAGGCUGGGGUAGGCCUGGAGAUGGGGUGGUCAGCCUGGGGGCUGCAGGGGUCUCCCAAGGCCUCCCUGUGGGUCUUUCGAGGGCACAGGCCCUGCUCCCGGAGGCUGGGAGUUCUGGCCGCAGGGCCUGUCCUUCAGUUACUAGGCUCCAGAGGUCGGUCCCAGCGCCUCAGACACCCACAUCCAGCAGGGACAGGGACAGCUCGCGGCUGGGAUAGCGUCAGCCCUGGGCCACGGCGGCUUGGCACCACAUCCCGUGACAGCUCUGUCUCCAGGCGUGCUCCCCAGCCCUGCCUGAAGAUGAACCCCAAGCCCUCGCCAGUGGCCAGGUAGGAACAAGGCCAGGAGCCCUGUGGAGAGGAGCAGGGGACCACUGCGUGGACGGGGCAGGCUGGGGCACAAAGGGCACUGCUUCCUCUGGAUAGCGCUAACUCCGAGAGCUCGGGCUCCUAUCCCUAGCCGGGGCGCCUGGCCUCCUGCAGUCGGGUCCCCAGCGGGUGAGCCGGGCGCAGGUGGACCUGACCGAGGAGGCGGCCGGAGCCCCUGCGGGUGAGGCGGGAGCGGCGAGCAGGAGGGCUGACUCAGAAGGUUUAUUUGCAGCGCUGGCGGGGCGGACAAUUGGCGGCCUCGGGGU